UAUAUUCUUUUUUUUCUCACAUUAUCAUGCUCCAUCAUAAGUGACUCAACAUAGUUCCUCUCCUGACUUUUUAUACUCACUCCCCGGCUAUCUCAUCCAGUGCCAUCUAUACCCUGGUGACUCUCAAAUCCUAUCUGCAGCCCUUGGAACUCAGUGCAGAGCAUCCACUGGCCCAUCCACAUCAUAGGUGUCUACCAUGCAUCUGAAAUUCAACGUGCCCCAAACAAAUCCUGACUUCUCCUUCAGAACCUACCCCCUUCCAAUGUUUGCCAUCUCAGUAAAUCUUGCCACCAGGUCAAAAAAAAAACAAAAAAAAAAAACAAAAAAAACCAGGCACCUUCAUAUUUGUACACCAAAGAUCUUGGAGUCACCUUGACCCUUCUCUUUCUUUCUCACCCCACAUCCAACUCACCUGAAUAUCCUGUGGUCUCUCUUCAACAUCUCUCCAGGAUCCGACUCCUCUUCGCCUCCUCUCCCACUCCCUGUCUUGGUCAAGCAAGCUUCUUCAGCUGGAGGGCUGUGAUGACUUCUUAGCUAAAUGAACAAAUGAAUAAAUGAUGCUGCGAGUGUUGCAAUUAACGCUAUCAACACAGACAUGUAUUCCUGAGGACACCAGCAGACACGUAACUGAACAGGUUCCCAUGCAGCAGCAGCCGUCAAGUCAAACAGUGAUUAAGUGCCUACUGUAUGCACGGCUCCAGUUGCUGGAUGGGUUCUUGUUCUCAAGUCGCGCCCACCACCAAAGUGGCCUCCUGGCCUGGCACAGCCGACCAGCCCCACCAGGAAAUCCGGGACUGGACCUGGGCAGAACAGAAUGGCUAUCCUCCAGAGUUUAGACAACUGGUCCACACUGAAGACAUUGUUUCUGAAAGAGUUCCCAUGACAACCUCCCUCUUCAAGGGUAUAGAGAAUUUAUUCAAAGUCAGAUACAGACUGGCCAAACCACCUUCUACAAAGCGGACAGGAAAAAAGAGCCUACAGAAAAGGUAGGAGUUGUUAUAAAAUUGCCUUAAUUCCGCUCUCUCUGCGUUACAAGCCGGGGGUGGGUAGUGGACUGCCGUGCUGUGUGCUCCA
rnacentral:lncRNA from 1 species